rnacentral:rRNA from 1 species
AGCGAACGCUGGCGGUAUGCCUAACACAUGCAAGUCGAACAGCAGCACAGUAAGAGCUUGCUCUUACGGGUGGCGAGUGGCGGACGCGUGACGAAUACAUCGGAAUCUACUUUUUCGUGGGGGAUAACGUAGGGUAACUUACGCUAAUCCCGCAUACGACCUACGGGUGAAAGCAGGGGAUCUUCUGACCUUGCGCUAUUGAAUGAGCCGAUGUCGGAUUAGCUAGUUGGCGGGGCAAAGGCCCACCAAAGCGACGAUCCGUAGCUGGUCUGAGAGGAUGAUAAGACACACUGGAACUGAGACACAGGCCAGACUCCUACGGGAGGCAGCAGUGGGGAAUAUUGGACAAAGGGCGCAAGAGUGAUACAGCCAAACCGCGGAGGUAAAGAAGGAGUUAGGGUGGUAAAGCGCUAUUGUUGGGAAAGAAAAGCAGCAGGUUAAUACCCAACUGUAAUGACAGUACACAAAGAAUAAGCACCGGCUAACUUCGUG